UCCUAAUAGUAUUGUCUUCUAUGGUUGUCUCCUCAAAGGAAAUUGUUAUAUAUAUAUAUGGGUAAAAAUUAACCGAAUAAAAAAAAUGUACCCUAGCUGAAAGUAGCAUCUCAAAUAUACAAUAGAACUGUUCUCAAUUCUAUUUCACUCAUAAAACUUGAAGGUUGAGAACGAGAUUAUAUCGAUCACCUCUAUAUCAAAGUACUACUAUAUAUACCGACUGAAAAAUAUGCACAGUGUCACAGACUUUCAGUACCUAAAGUUAAAUGUAAAUCCCGUAAGUAGUCAGUACUUUAAUAAGACAGCAACCAGACAACAACACAAGGCCAAAAGAAAAUUAAAAAGGAAAAGGCAUCUUAUGAUAUGCAUUUGACGGGGGUGGGGGCUGCAGGGGUCCUGAUCCCGAAAUCCCGGACUUAAAAACAUGAAAUCCCGAGGUCCCGAAUUUAUAGAAAUUUCAAUCCCGCCAUACCGAAAUUCGAAAAAAGAAUAGCCGGAUCCAUAAAGGAUCAAUCCUGAAAUCCCGUGUUGAAAAACACCCGAUCCCGGAGUCCCGUUUAAGGCCCCCCUCCCCCCC
rnacentral:lncRNA from 1 species